UUGGACGUGGUGUAUGGCGCACACUCGCCUUCUGUGUCGCCAAUGUCAAAUUGAUGUGCAGGAAGCCCGGGUUCGACUCCCGGCGUCCGAA